GCUGCUUCGGUGUCUGGGUGAAGUUUCCAGCCAACCCAAGAAGGAAACCGAAAGGGAAGAGGCCGAGAGAGAGGUUAAUUCCUAGUGCUUUGGUUACCGAAAACAGCCCCGCUGGGACUGCUGGGCUGGAACUUAGCUAAGCAGUGCGGAGGCUGAACCCCACCAUCUCUGGGCUCCGCAGCAAAUCAGAAGCCCCCACCCACGAUAAGGGGAAAAUGGGGCGCAGAGGGCAGGGAGGAAUGGAAGGAAAGCGCGUCUGGACUUUGAACUGCAGCCCUCUCCCUCUUUCCCUUGCCUCGGAAGCUCCAGGCCCACUCAGCACCAGUUCUGUCUCCUCUUUUCAGCCGCCUUCUCUCUAGCUACUGAGGGGAAAAGUCAGGAUGAAGCGGGUCCCUCGGCCUCCAGAAAGUGUUUUAUUACAGUCGCAAACAGGUAGAGCGGCAGCCACCCCAGUGAUGACUCCCUGCUCCUUAGAUUGUAGGGACGCUGGCACCUCACUCAUGCUCCUAAGUGGCCAUUUUGCACCCUGGCUGGGCGAGUUAGGCAGACAAAAUGAGCCCCCAAAAGUUUAAAGGCCUCCACCAAAGUAAAGGAGUGUUUCUUUUCUGAGGUGUCAUUGUAUUCCAUCCACGAACUCCAGUUCCCCCGGGUGCUCUGGAUCUGACACGGAGUAGGAUGCUAACAUCUAAUCCCUUCUUUCCCUUUGGAAAGAUGCAUGUUUUUUCUCGGAGUCCUAGGGAAUAUCUUAGAAUACUUUCAUGGUUGUCAUUGGUACACCCAUCCCUUGAGGAGCCCUGCCACCCGUAAGUAGGACUGCAAGGAAAUACAAAAUUAAGAGAAGUAUGAACCCUGAUACCCACGAACUUAAAACCAGGUGUAUAAAUUUUGUACACCUAAAAAAUAUGGUACCUAAAGAGGCGAACAGCAAAACAAGCAAGAAUGU
rnacentral:lncRNA from 1 species